GACGAACGCUGGCGGCGUGCUUAACACAUGCAAGUCGAACGAUGAAGCCUAGCUUGCUGGGUGGAUUAGUGGCGAACGGGUGAGUAACACGUGAGUAACCUGCCCCUUACUCUGGGAUAAGCGCUGGAAACGGCGUCUAAUACUGGAUAUUACCUUUCAUCGCAUGGUGUUUGGUGGAGAGAUUUUUCGGUUUGGGAUGGACUCGCGGCCUAUCAGCUUGAUGGUGAGGUAGUGGCUCACCAUGGCGACGACGGGUAGCCGGCCUGAGAGGGUGACCGGCCACACUGGGACUGAGACACGGCCCAGACUCCUACGGGAGGCAGCAGUGGGGAAUAUUGCACAAUGGGCGCAAGCCUGAUGCAGCAACGCCGCGUGAGGGAUGACGGCCUUCGGGUUGUAAACCUCUUUUAGUAGGGAAGAAGCGUAAGUGACGGUACCUACAGAAAAAGCACCGGCUAACUACGUG
rnacentral:rRNA from 1 species